AUUGAACGCUGGCGGCAGGCUUAACACAUGCAAGUCGAGCGAGCGGCGGACGGGUGAGUAAUGUCUGGGAAACUGGCUCGUGGAGGGGGAUAACUACGGGAAACGGUAGCUAAUACCGCAUACUCUCCGAUGUGCCCAGAUGGGAUUAGCUAGUUGGUGGGGUAAUGGAUCACCUAGGCGACGAUCCCUAGCUGUUCUGAGAGGAUGACCAGCCCAUCUUGAACUGAGACAAGGCCAAGACUACUACGGGAGGCGGUAGUGGGGCAUGUUGCCCAGUGGGCGCAGGCCUGCUGCCGGCAUGCCGCGUGUGUGAGGAGGGCCUUCGGGUUGUAAAGCACUUUCGGCGGGGCGGCGUUACUCUCAGAAGAAGCCCCGGCUAACUCCGUGCCAGCAGCCGCGGUAAUUC
rnacentral:rRNA from 1 species